UGGCAUCCCAUGCAGAGUGCAGUCCUCUGGGAGUGUUUGAGUGUGAACUCUGUGCCUUGACAGCUCCCUAUAGCUACAUUGGGCAGAAGCCCCCCAACACCCAGUCGAUGGUGUGAGUACGUGCCCUUUGGGCCAGUGCUAGGGAAGCCUGUGCCCAGUGCUGGUUGGUGGGUGCUGGGCCUAGGUCUGACACCAGCUUGGGUGUGGCUCUUUAGGUCCCACCCUGCCCAGGCUCUGGAUACUUCCACUGUAAUCUCUGGAGGCCUGGGCAAAGCUUGGGGUGUGUCUGACUCUUCUAGAACCUUCCUCCACACCUAACCCAGAGUCCAACACCUGCUGUAGCUGUGGGGAAGCAGCUCAGCAGCCGUGAGGAGCUGUGGUGGCCUCCCCAUUUGGGGCUGUGCCCUUGCCAUGGCACUUUCUUAGUGGGAGGCCCGUCGUCCUUGCAGACGUGGACUAGAGCCAGUGGGUCCAGGGGCUUAUCUCUUGACCUCCAGCUUGUCCUUCAUCAAAUGCCACUUUGUUGGAAAGCUGGCUGGUGUGUUACUCACACAAAUGGGAUGCAGUGGUGGGGCAUGGCUUUUUCCUCCUGGCUGUUGUCCCUCUGCUGACUGGGAGCCUGACUGUCAUCAUGCCACCCUGUGGUGUCAUUCUGAUGUGUGGCAGGAUGCCACCUGGCCUCCAGGGACUGUGAGGGUGUGUUCUCCCUCGUGGAAGCAAGUGGCUUGGGGUGUAGGGGAGGCCUGGCGUGCUUAGAUGGUGGCCUUGUGCCCCACCCUGGGGAAUCAGUCAGGGCCUGGGGGCUCAUGUUGGAGCAGCCCUUCUUUUGGCUGAGAACAAGGGUUUCUCUCUACCACAGCUGUUAGAAAGGUGAAAGUGAAAACAGGUCCAAUUUCAAUGCCAGUGUGGUCCCCAAUUGCUGAUCCUGUCACUGUCCUGCAGCGCCCCUGCCCCCCUGAGCCCGCGCAGGUGUGCAGGCCCUGCGGAGGUCCAGGCUGCUGCUGCACGGCCAUUGCUCAUGGCUGAUUUUCCGACAACAGAGAUUUGGGCGGUUCUACAGCUGGCAUCUCUCUCCUGCAGCCUCCUGGAGGAAAGCUAUGUCAUGAAGGACCCCUUCACCUCUGACAAGGGCAGAUUCCUGGUCCUCGGCUCGCAUUGCAGUUUGUGCAGCAGGCUGGUGUGUGUGGGCCCGGUGGGAGUGCAGUUUAUUCUACUCCAAGAGAUUCUGCCUCCCUUGUGUCCAGGAGAACAUCAGUGCUUUUCCUCAGGAAAUUCAGCAAGACUUGGAGAAAAGGAAAGCUCUGUCAAAGAGGCCCCCUAGCCAGCCUGGUUCUCGGACGUGAGUGCAGCUGGGGCCGCACUCACCCUGCACAGGGCUCCUGGGCCAGCCUGCGCCAGGGAUGCUGCUGAGCUGGGAGCCGCCGUGCCUGGCCUUGUUCUGGACCAUUGGGAGCAGCACUGUAGCCCAGAGGAGCUGGAGCCCAGCUUGGAGCAGCCACAGGCCCAGGGAUUUGUGCCGACAAGGUAGCCCAAAGGCAGGUGCCAGCCCAGACACAGCCAGGAAUCCCUGCACACCCCUCAGCGCCGAGGCCUGAGUGAGUGCUGCUCAGAUGCGACUGAGAGGGAUGACCUCCUUCAGUGGGGCAGCUCCUAAGAGGCUACCUGCAGGUGCAUGUGCAGGAAGAUGCCACGCCGUGUUGGGGCCGGGGCACACCGUAGGUGACUGUAGUGGUCUUUCUGUAAAGAAAAUCACUGACAGCAGCUGCCUCUGGAGCCAGCCUGGGAGGUCUAGAGGGUGACAAAAUUUUUCCUUCAUAUCCUUAUGUGAUGCUUGGAAAAUGUUUUUAAUCUUAACCAUGUAUUAUGUUUAUAAUUAAAACCCAGCUAAUGUUUGAAAAAGGAAUCUUCCACUAAAACGUCUGGAUACCCGACAUUCUCCCUGGGUACUCUGGGCCUGGCAAUGGCCGGGGUCUCCUGGGAAGGUGAGUGCUGGCUUCCAGCCUCUCCAGUUCCCUCAGGCUCUGGCUUCAGCUCGGGCCCCUGCAUUCUGUCUCCCACAAUCCCAAGUCAGGAAUGCUGUGGACUUCCUGUCCUCACCUCGCACCUCAAGACCAUCACGCUGCCUGCCUGCUUGCCUCCUGCCAUCUCGAACACAGUCCUGGGUGCCUGCAAAGCCCGGCCCCACUGCCUGCUGGGAGUGCCUGCAGCACCCCCUCCUCCAGACUCCCCAUCUCCCCGGGGCUUCUAGGGUAGCAGUUGGCGGGGCACUGGUCUGUGCUCUCUGGAAUGUCUGCUUAGAGUUCUGAGAGGCAGGAGCUGCUCUGUCGUUAAAACUACUCCAGGCCAACUGUCACGUGAUGAAGGGAUGAAUAAAGAGUUUUUGCUGA